CCAACCAGCACAGAUGGACACAUACCUUGUCCUGUUUGUACUCAUAAUAUAUGUGACCAUUCGAAUACAAUUUUAUGUGAAGUUUGUCAAAUUAGUUUCAAUCAUCAGCCACAACCACAAAACGCAACAUGCUUAAAUAGGGGACAGUGUUUUGAAGACGAUAGUAACCUUUGCUGCACUGAUUUGGCAUGUGUAGAUAUCAUCUUAAAACAUCUUGACGCAGUCACAAAUUACCCAUUAACCCAACCAGUCCGUGCGUUUGGACACAAUAACCAAACAUCCCAAAGCACGAUCAGUACAACUAAAAGCGCCACAUCUACUCUCUCUACCAAUUCCUCUGCGGCUGCCACCACCAUUACACUUCAAUCCUCUUCUUUGUCGUCAACCACCACUGUUCGUACAACCCAUACAAGUCCUCGCAAGAUACAUGCAUCAAUCAAGAGAGAACCUGAGGCAAGUAACAUUGGGGACCUCCUUCGGGAAAAGGGAGAAAAGGAGAAUUAAACGC